rnacentral:rRNA from 1 species
UACGAAGGGGGCUAGCGUUGCUCGGAAUCACUGGGCGUAAAGGGUGCGUAGGCGGGUCUUUAAGUCAGGGGUGAAAUCCUGGAGCUCAACUCCAGAACUGCCUUUGAUACUGAGGAUCUUGAGUUCGGGAGAGGUGAGUGGAACUGCGAGUGUAGAGGUGAAAUUCGUAGAUAUUCGCAAGAACACCAGUGGCGAAGGCGGCUCACUGGCCCGAUACUGACGCUGAAGCACGAAAGCGUGGGAGCAAACAGG